CUUCAAUGAUCUCGCUGAAUGUCAAACUCGGGCAAAGCUGCUCUGAAUCUCUACAAAGUGAGACAAAGCCGGGCCGCUCUAUGACUUUGUUCCAAGACAGGCAGAAGCAAGGCCGUUGUGAGGAGACACACAGAAUGACUGCAGGACUCUCACUAUUCCAGCAAACUGACGGUGUAGCUGGGAACCUUCAGGACUGACAGCAGGAAGGCUGCACUAUGAGGUGACCCCAGGUCUCCCCGCAGACGCCUUCCCUUCCACCCACCAUGAAUUUUAGAGCAGCAACC
rnacentral:lncRNA from 1 species